CCUACGGGAGGCAGCAGUGGGGAAUAUUGGGCAAUGGGCGCAAGCCUGACCCAGCAACGCCGCGUGAAGGAAGCAGGCCCUCGGGUUGUAAACUUCUUUUGUCAGGGCCGAAGAAAGUGGCGGUCCCUGACGAAUAAGCCACGGCUAACUACGUGCCAGCAGCCGCGGUAAUACGGAGGGGGCAAGCGUUGUCCGGAUUUACUGGUGGUAAAGGGCGUGUAGGCGGGUCUGCAAGUCAGAUGUGAAAUUCCAGGGCUCAACCCUGGAACUGCAUGUGAAACUGUAGUUCUUGAAGGAUGGAGAGGCAGGCGGAAUUCCGUGUGUAGCGGUGAAAUGCGUAGAUAUACGGAGGAACACCAGUGGCGAAGGCGGCCUGCUGGACAUUAACUGACGCUGAGGCGCGAAAGCGUGGGGAGCAAACGGGAUUAGAUACCCGGGUAGUC
rnacentral:rRNA from 1 species